AGAGGUCUUAGACGUGUCAAGCUUUCCACUUUGACUUGAAAAUGCCUGAAGUCUAACUGCAUUAGUGCACGACCUUCGUUCGUGCAUUUUCUUACAGCGGAAAAUCUAAAGAAUUUCAAAUCGGAUACGGUCUUACAUAAAGGAGGCAGAAUCUGAGGGUAACAGACACGAAG